GGAGGGUUGAGCUCAGUGGUAGAGUGUGUGCUUACCAUGUACAAGGUCCUGGGUUCAAUCCCUAGUCUCUCCA
rfam:Camelus ferus unplaced genomic scaffold scaffold780, whole genome shotgun sequence.